GGGAGCCUCCUUGACCUUCCAGGGCUGGAAGACAAGCGGGAGGUGGCCAGCGGGAAUUCCAGAGGACGGGUCUUCCUGUACCCGCUGAGCAGGUGUUCUCGCUGCCAGGCCCGGCAGCGCGCACGUUCCUGACCCGGCCAGGCCGGGCUGGCAGCCAAAUCCCCGGCGUUUGUACGCGGGAUGGGCGUCUUCAGCCAGGACGUGCAGCUCCGGAGGCCACGCGGGCGACCUUGACCGUCCCCGCCGGGUGUUUCCCCCAGAAAGAAAUGUGGGUGUGCUGCCUGCCUUGGUUGCUGACAGGAAGAUCCUUCUAAAACCGACAGGACAAGAAUCCCUAAAGGUUGAAAUGGAAAUUGGUGACUGGCACUGCCCAAAGUGGACAGCCCUGCCGUUGACGAUAAGAAGAGUAGAUGUCACCUCCAAAAUGCUUCACUCACCUGAACCAAGUGUGCCACAAUGGCCCUGUCACCCUCAAAGGACCCAACAGGAAGAAUCUAGACCAAGGCCUGUCUAUAGAAAGAAUGGAAGAUUGAAAACAAUGCAAAUGUUUUGCAGUGGAGGUCAAACCAAGAAUCUAUAUUCAAAGAUAUCCAGAUGAUAGAGAAUUUGUGUCACCAGAAGAACUGCCAAUGAGGAAAGAUGUUAACUGGAAACUGAAAUCUAAAGGAAAUAGAGUGUAAGACAGCAUUCUGUACACCAGCUAACUGAACAAAUGAGAAUCUUGUGGCUGCCCCAACCUGCUAUGUCAGUUUCCUCUAUUUUACAAUGCUGUUGUUAACUAUCUGGGCUCCCCUUACGUGUCCUAUGGAGUGGAAAGUGUCCUUAGUUAGUAAAAUGACUUUACAGAGAGAGAGAGGGUUUGGUGAGGUCUAAGCUGAGACCUAAGGAUGUGUGUGAAUUAGCCAAGGGGAAAAAAAAAAAAAAAAGAGAAAGGGGGCUCAAAGCUGAGGA